UCCAUGCAGCUGCUGGGUCAGCCUACAUCUGAGCAUGGGCACGGUUGCUGCCGCACACAGGGACUGUUUCCCAGAGACUUUGCAGAGAGGCUCGGAUCCUUGUGUUCUAGACUGUGGCCACCCACAGACGGGGAAGAUUCCAUGCAGAGAAGAGAGGCCUCCAGGUUCACCGAAAGCAUGGAAGCAACUCCAGACACCUUCUACAGGAGCACUAUCUGGAUGCCUGGCCAUGUAUCCCUGAAAGUCUUUGGGAUUCAGGGACAACUUCUUUUACAUGCCCCCACAAACGCAGCUCAAUUCCCAAAUGGAUGCUGGCACUUUUCCUGUCCUGGGCCCACCUUGUGUCUCCCUGAGGAGGCUCUUGUGUUCUAGGAGAACCAAGUUGCCCAGCGGUUCUGAUUAAAAGCAGCAGAAACUGGGCCAGAGCCACUCAGCAGAGCCAGAUGCAACAGUGAAGGUGACUUCUAGCUGUUUCUGCUUUAGGGUGGGCUGGAAAUGGCCCCAUGACUGAGGCCUUAGAACCUACAGCCCACCCACAUUCUCUUUGCACAGGAGUUAGCAGAACCACAGGGCAGGACAUCAUGUAGCCAUCGAGUUUGAUCUUGACAGUGAGAUCUUGACAAGAUAUCUCAGGGGGCCACUCUGGGUGUGGUCCUGAAUGGAUGGGCCUCUCUGCACCUGGUCCUCUGCUCUCACACCCUUCAAGGAGGGUCAGCUUUUCAUGAACCCUGUGGGUACCUGUGCUACCCGCUAGUCCUCUAAGCCUGAUCUCUUCCUAGUCUGAGCCUGUUGCAGCUGGUCACAGCUGGUCAUAGGAACCCAAACCUCCCAGAGCCUGAGCUUCUCUGCCCUGCUGGAGACCCUCCAUCACCAGCUCUGAAGCUGGGCUAUCUGCACCUGGUGAGGCUCGGCCCCUUUAGCAGCAGACUCAGCCAGCCCUCAAUAGUGGCCUUGUGCCUGGGC
rnacentral:lncRNA from 1 species